CGCGACAAGCCAACGCUGAAGGCUGACGCUGUCCCAAGUAUUUUUGGUGGCCUUCCUUAGUAUCUCACGAAGCGUAAACCUCGACCCCGCUCAUCGACAAAUCGAUCACCGCGCAAACGAGCACGUGAGUCGUCGUGCGAGACGGAGGAGCAACGAGCAUCGCCGACGACCUGUUCAGACCGCACCGAUGCUGCAUCAGUGAAUGAAGAUGUGGCACUGACCAGUGAAACGGUCGAAACCUACCACACGGACACAGCUUGUCAGACAGACCGCUUGGUUGACUGCGCCAGCUGUGCAGCAGUGCAAAAGUUGAGGUGCCAACUUCGAGCUGCGAAGCAGCAGCUUCGGCAAUGCCAAACAAAACUCGCCGAGUUCCGAAAGAAGA